UACGUACGAGGCGAGCGUUAUCCGGAAUUACUGGGCGUAAAGCGCGCGCAGGCGGACCAUUAAGUUGGGCGUGAAAUCUCCCGGCCUAACUGGGAGGGGUCGCCCAAGACUGGUGGUCUUGAGGACAGCAGAGGUGGGUGGAAUUCCUGGUGUAGUGGUGAAAUGCGUAGAGAUCAGGAGGAACACCGGUGGCGAAGGCGGGUCUCUGGGCCGAUACUGACGCUGAGGAGCGAAAGCGUGGGGAGCGAACAGG
rnacentral:rRNA from 1 species